GUCUAUGGCCAUACCACCCUAAACGUGCCCGAUCUCGUCUGAUCUCAGAAGCUAAGCAGGGUCGGGCCUGGUUAGUACUUGGAUGGGAGAAGAGAAGAAGUAAAUUGCCUCCAUCUGCA
rnacentral:rRNA from 1 species